AUUGAACGCUGGCGGCAGGCCUAACACAUGCAAGUCGAGCGAGCGGCGGACGGGUGAGUAAUGUCUGGGAAACUGCCUGAUGGAGGGGGGUAACUACUGGAAACGGUAGCUAAUACCGCAUAUUAUCAGAUGUGCCCAGAUGGUAUGAGCUAGUAGGUGGGGUAACGGCUCACCUAGGCGACGAUCCCUAGCUGGUCUGAGAGGAUGACCAGCCACACUGGAACUGAGACACGGUCCAGACUCCUACGGGAGGCAGCAGUGGGGAAUAUUGCACAAUGGGCGCAAGCCUGAUGCAGCCAUGCCGCGUGAGUGAAGAAGGCCUUCGGGUUGUAAAGCACUUUCAGCGGGGAGGCGUUACCCGCAGAAGAAGCACCGGCUAACUCCGUGCCAGCCGCCGCGGUAAUAC
rnacentral:rRNA from 1 species